rnacentral:lncRNA from 1 species
CACAGGCAACCUCAGUUUAUAUUUUUUUCAGUAUUCAUUGGUAUUGGCAGCUCUUCAAGUGACUGGCUCACAGGAUCUGGGUGGCAGCCUGAAUGCAAACUCUGAGCCCCUUGCAAGUCCUUCUUCAGAGGUGCCUGGUGUGAGACAGUAAACCAUGCCAUGAAGCUUGCUAAGGUAGCGCUGGUCUGAUAUCCAGAGACUUGGUCUUCUUGUUUUCCUUACCUGACCUCUACAGUAGAAAGCACAGCACUGCAUUGAGGAGGGAGGAGCACAGCUUGGAUGUUUUCCUGAACUGAAGAUUUCUGUGCGACUCACAGAAGGAAACUGAGGCUGGAGAUGACAGAACAGCCUUUCCAGUCUGAGAAGGCAGCUUCAAGCUAAGUGCAUACUUGUCAGAGGCCUUCUGGGGCAGCUGACACCACUUCCUGAACCUAUGCAGUGUGGACCAGGGACCUGCUGUGAUAUGCUGUCACUCAGGAAAGCCAGAUCCACAACAGCUGACACCACGCCACCAAAGGAGGCUUCUGUUCCCAGAGGCCCUUUUGGUACUUCGCCUCUCUUAGAACAGGACCACUCUUCAUUCAUGGCCUCCUAACCCUUCGUCUCUGGUCCUCUCAGCCACCAUAGAUCUACCUAACCUUGAGUUCCAAAGCUCCACCAUAAGCCUCUACACUUCCCACUACCCAGCAUGCUUUCUGUUGACCAUUUAUCUUCCAAGGGCUUGAGCCCUGGCCCUGGAAUGACAGCUCACAGUUUGAAUUUUGUUCUACGAAUGUGUGAGACAUAAAGGAACACGUGAGCUCAUCAUAUCUGCUGCUGCGUACACUGGAACAGAGGUCAAGAACAUCCAUCCCGCUCUUCUGCACAGUGAACAAAGAGAAACAGAGACAAACAGGGCCCAAGAUCUAAGGGAAUACUGAGUAUGCACACGGGAGCGAUUGGCAAGAUCUAAAUGGAGAGAACUUGAGAGAGCCUUCAGCCAUUGAGCCCUAGUGACAAGGAUGGGCUCCAUCCCCUGAGGACGGUUUGUGAUGGUUCUGAGAUAAACCUCCUCCUAUCUUCUGCACCCAGAUACUGCAGCCAUGCAAGGCACCUUGGAAACAGCUUUAUUGCCCUGGUACUCUGAGAGAACUUCUCUUCUUAGGCCUACUUUAAAAACCAAGUCUGCAAAAUUCACACAGCAAAAGUUGAAACGGGAGUCCAUGUUCACUAAAAGCAAUGGGAGUCACACUGCAAUUCCAAUUCAGAGAAACUUCUUGAAAAUCUUCCAUGAAGAGGCAAUUGUUUAAAUUCUUCAGGAUUCAGAGAAGUGAGGCCAAGGUACCCGGUGUGACUAAGAUACUUAGUUAUCCAACUCCUUCUUUGAGUUCCCCACUCCCCACCUCCACCCGCUCCUGGUACAGUUUAUAUUUUCAUUAAUCAGGGUGUUCUACAGACUCUCCAAACUCAAUUCAAAUGAGUCCAGCAAAGGAGAGAAUCAGCUCAGCAGAGAGCCAUGGCCAAGGCAAGGAUGGAGCUAACUGCAGAACCUACUGGGCCCCUCAGCUUUCUCUUCCUCUUGCCGCUCCUUGCUGGUGCCUUCAUUUCCCCAGCAAUUUGACUUUCCCCAGGACUAUCGAUUUCAUAUCUUCAAAGUACUAUGGCCCUGGGACAAACUGGCCUCCGUCCCCAGCUCCAUCAGAGGCUUUGAUUUCCCUGGGCUUCAUCAAGGUCUUAUCCUUUUGGUCUGGGACCACGUUCUGCUUCCGUUCCACCAGAAAGAAAAGUCAGAGCAGUUAAAAACAGUGCAGGGUCACUUCAACUUUCUCUGUCACAGCUCUUGAUACAAAGUCACUUCUCCCUGAAAGUGUAGUCCCCAAACUCUGCUUUUCUGCGGUCCCCAAAGCCUGGGUUGAUAAACAUCCAAAACUGCUUCAUCCCUGUUCUGCCCUUACAGAUCCCUGAGUCUUUUCUCAAGUGGGCUUAAAUAUAUGCAAUUGAAUGUACUUAAUGAAACACUGUGUCUAGAAGGCUGAAUUUUAAUGUAAGCAAAUUGUUUCAGGUUAUUAUAGGAUCAUUCAAAGGCAUUGCUGUCAAUCACU